rnacentral:rRNA from 1 species
GACAGAGGGUGCAAACGUUGUUCGGAAUUACUGGGCGUAAAGCGAGUGUAGGCGGUCUGCUAAGUCGGGUGUGAAAGCCCUGGGCUCAACCCAGGAAGUGCACUCGAAACUGGCAGGCUAGAGUACUGGAGAGGUUGGUGGAAUUCUCGGUGUAGAGGUGAAAUUCGUAGAUAUCGAGAGGAACACCGGUGGCGAAGGCGGCUUCUUGGGCCAUUUCUGACGCUGAGGCGCGAAAGCUAGGGGAGCGAACGGG